UUUCAAGAAAUCAAAUCCGUGCCAAUUUCAAAGAUUUUCCAGUCUUUUAAGACUGGAAAAUCUUUGAAAUUGGCACGGAUUUGAUUUCUGGA